UACGAAGGGGGCUAGCGUUGCUCGGAAUUACUGGGCGUAAAGGGCGCGUAGGCGGACAGUUUAGUCAGAGGUGAAAGCCCAGGGCUCAACCUUGGAAUAGCCUUUGAUACUGGCUGUCUUGAGUUCGGGAGAGGUGAGUGGAAUGCCGAGUGUAGAGGUGAAAUUCGUAGAUAUUCGGCGGAACACCAGUGGCGAAGGCGACUCACUGGCCCGAUACUGACGCUGAGGCACGAAAGCGUGGGGAGCAAACAGG
rnacentral:rRNA from 1 species